rnacentral:rRNA from 1 species
CUGAAUUUCCUAGGGGGCGUCAAAGCCUACCGAAGAAUAUCAAACUCCGAAUGCCAUACAGAUGAUGUACGGGAGUCAGACGGCACGAGAUAAGUUGGGUCGUCAAAAGGGAAAGAGCCCAGACCUGCAGCUAAGGUCCCAAAGUGUGUGUUAAGUGGAAAAGGAUGUGGGAUUUCAAAGACAACUAGGAUGUUGGCUCAGAAGCAGCCACACAUUCAAAGAGUGCGUAAUAGCUCACUAGUCGAGAGGUCCUGCGCCGAAAAUGUCCGGGGCUGAAACACAACACCGAAGCUCAGGAAUGACUUAGGUCAUUGGUAGAGGAGCAUUCUUAAAGGGGCGAAGCAGUACCGAUAAGGAGCUGUGGACUUUUAAGAAGAGAGAAUGCCGGAAUGAGUAGCGAGAUGGAGGUGGGAAUCCUCCAGGCCGAAUAUCUAAGGUUUCCAGGGUAAAGCUGAUCUGCCCUGGGUAAGUCGGGGCCUAAGGCAAGGCUGAGAAGCGUAGCUGAUGGACAACAGGUUUAGAUUCCUGUACCACAUGAUAUCAGAACUGUGGGGACGCAGAGGGAUAAGAUGACCGGGGAACAGAACUCCGGGCAAGCGUAGGAGGUGUCAGGCAGGCAAAUCCGCCUGAUAAGCCAAAGACGUGACGCGGACCGAACUCAAGUAGGGAAGCAUCCGAUUCCAGCUGCCGAGAAAAGCCGCUAUUGUGUAUCAUGUGCCCGUACCGUAAACCGACACAGGUGGAUGAGGAGAGAAUCCUAAGGCCGGCGGGAGAAGCAUUGUUAAGGAACUCGGCAAAAUGACCCCGUAACUUCGGGAGAAGGGGUGCCUGCGAGAGCAGGCCGCAGAGAAUAGGCUCAAGCAACUGUUUAGCAAAAACACAGGUCUAUGCGAAACCGUAAGGUGAUGUAUAUGGGCUGACGCCUGCCCGGUGCUGGAAGGUUAAGAGGAGAGGUUAGAGCAAUCGAAGCUUUGAAUUGAAGCCCCAGUAAACGGCGGCCGUAACUAUAACGGUCCUAAGGUAGCGAAAUUCCUUGUCGGGUAAGUUCCGACCUGCACGAAUGGUGUAAUGAUCUGGACGCUGUCUCAACCGUGAGCUCAGUGAAAUUGUAGUAUCGGUGAAGAUGCCGAUUACCCGCGAUGGGACGAAAAGACCCCGUGAACCUUUACUAUAGCUUUACAUUGAAUUUGGGCAACUAAUGUGUAGGAUAGGCCGGAGACUAUGAAGCAGGCACGCCAGUGUUUGUGGAGUCGUCGUUGAAAUACGGCCCUUUGGUUGUUUGAGUUCUAACUCGCAGAAGCGAGGACACUGUAUGGUGGGUAGUUUGACUGGGGUGGUCGCCUCCAAAAGAGUAACGGAGGCUUCUAAAGGUACCCUCAGACCGAUUGGUAACCGGUCGUAGAGUGUAAUGGCAUAAGGGUGCUUGACUGGGAGGCCUACAAGCCGAUCAGGUAGGAAACUAGAGCAUAGUGAUCCGGUGGUUCCGCAUGGAAGGGCCA